UUAUUUGAGAGUUUGAUCCUGGCUCAGGAUGAACGCUGGCGGCGUGCCUAACACAUGCAAGUUGAGCGAUUUACUUCGGUAAAGAGCGGCGGACGGGUGAGUAACGCGUGGGUAACCUACCCUGUACACACGGAUAACAUACCGAAAGGUAUGCUAAUACGGGAUAAUAUAUUUGAGAGGCAUC
rnacentral:rRNA from 1 species